ensembl:lncRNA
GUUCUCUGGUUAGUGAGUCCUCCAGAUCAGAGGCAGUAGGGAUGGACCAGGGAUGUUCUCUGUUUAGUGAGUCCACCAGAUCAGAGGCAGUAGGGAUGACCAGGGAUGUUCUCUGGUUAGUGAGUCCUCCAGAUCAGAGGCAGUAGGGAUGACCAGGGAUGUUCUCUGUUUAGUGAGUCCUCCAGAUCAGAGGCAGUAGGGAUGACCAGGGAUGUUCUCUGUUUAGUGAGUCCUCCAGAUCAGAGGCAGUAGGGAUGACCAGGGAUGUUCUCUGUUUAGUGAGUCCUCCAGAUCAGAGGCAGUAGGGAUGACCAGGGAUGCUCUCUGUUUAGUGAGUCCUCCAGAUCAGAGGCAGUAGGGAUGACCAGGGAUGUUCUCUGUUUAGUGAGUCCUCCAGAUCAGAGGCAGUAGGGAUGACCAGGGAUGUUCUCUGUUUAGUGAGUCUGUCAGAUCAGAGGCAGUAGGGAUGACCAGGGAUGUUCUCUGGUUAGUGAGUCCUCCAGAUCAGAGGCAGUAGGGAUGACCAGGGAUGUUCUCUGUUUAGUGAGUCCUCCAGAUCAGAGG